GGCAUUAUCAUAUGUACUUUUCCCGACAACAUUAUGUUAUGAGAUUUAAAAUAUAUACUUUGUGUCUUUACAAGAGCAAAAUGGAGUGAGUUUUAGCUAUAAUUGUGUUUUGUCUUGCCCCCCCCCUUGGCUAUGCACUGAAGGACUAGGAGGCACAGGAGGACAAUUAGGGACAGGAGGACAAUUAGGGAGUGGAGGAUUGGGAGGAGGUGGAGGAUACUCUGCUGCUGCCAAAGCUGCUAAAUAUGGAGUUUCAACAGGAGCUGGAGCAGGGUUUGUACCAGGAGGACUGGGAGGAGCAGGAGGAGUUCCUGGUGCAGUACCUGGACUGGGAGGUGGACAAUACUCGGCUGCCGCAAAAGCUGCUAAAUACGGUAUAAUAAAUAAGCACACAUGCACAAAUAUCACUCAUUCACAGACAUGCGUAAUAGCGUAUAAACUAAAUCUGAUAGGAACUGUACAAUAUUUAAUAAUUACAAAUCAAUUUUCUCAAUUAUGUUAUCUUAUUCUACUAAACUAAAUUAAUCAUGCAACCUGCUCCAUUCUCCUUGAUUAGGAGUUUUAGGAGGAGCUGGAGCAGGGUUCGGAGCAGGAGGAGUUCCUGGUGCAGUACCUGGACUGGGAGGGGGACAAUACUCUGCUGCCGCAAAAGCUGCUAAAUAUGGUAAGAGUAGAAAUACUACACACUCAGAUGCAUUUUCUUGUGAAUAAACUAAUUCUUAUAGGAAGGGUACAAUUUUCAAAUUGAAUUAGGAGUUGCAGGAGGAGUUGGAGCAGGGUUUGUACCAGGAGGACUGGGAGGAGCAGGAGCAGGGUUUGUACCAGGAGGACUGGGAGGAGCAGGAGCAGGAUUUGUACCAGGAGGACUGGGAGGAGCAGGAGCAGGGUUUGUACCAGGAGGACUCGGAGGAGGAGGAGCAGUUCCUGGUGCAGUACCUGGAAUGGGAGGGGGACAAUACUCUGCUGCCGCAAAAGCUGCUAAAUACGGUAUAAUAAAUAAGCACACAUGCACAAAUAUCAUACAUUGAGUUUAACUUGUUUGACUUUAUUCUAAUAGGAACCGUUA
rnacentral:lncRNA from 1 species